GUAGGUGGCAAGCGUUGUCCGGAAUUAUUGGGCGUAAAGCGCGCGCAGGCGGUUCUUUAAGUCUGAUGUGAAAGCCCACGGCUCAACCGUGGAGGGUCAUUGGAAACUGGAGAACUUGAGUACAGAAGAGGAAAGCGGAAUUCCACGUGUAGCGGUGAAAUGCGUAGAGAUGUGGAGGAACACCAGUGGCGAAGGCGGCUUUCUGGUCUGUAACUGACGCUGAGGCGCGAAAGCGUGGGGAGCAAACAGGGAUUAGAUACCCUGGUAGUCCACGCCGUAAACGAUGAGUGCUAAGUGUUAGGGGGGUUUCCGCCCCCUUAGUGCUGCAGUUAACGCAUUAAGCACUCCGCCUGGGGGAGUACGGCCGCAAGGCUG
rnacentral:rRNA from 1 species